rnacentral:rRNA from 1 species
GGAUUAGAUACCCUGGUAGUCCACGCCGUAAACGAUGUCGACUAGCCGUUGGGGUCCUUGAGGCCUUAGUGGCGUAGCUAACGCGCUAAGUCGACCGCCUGGGGAGUACGGCCGCAAGGUUAAAACUCAAAUGAAUUGACGGGGGCCCGCACAAGCGGUGGAGCAUGUGGUUUAAUUCGAAGCAACGCGAAGAACCUUACCUACUCUUGACAUCCUGGAAACUUAGCAGAGAUGCUUUGGUGCCUUCGGGAAUCCAGUGACAGGUGCUGCAUGGCUGUCGUCAGCUCGUGCCG